ACAUACUGAUUUAAAGUUUCUCCUUUUCCAGUUUUCUUUCAGGUGAGAGUUCAUGCUUGUGGGUUUGACUCAAAGACAUCUCCCAAAGGACAAGGAAAUGCAGCACAUGGUACAAAAUCCUGCUGGAGACUGUACUACAAUAGUGGCCUUUGGAAACAAGAAAUUUGAUGAUGAUCAUGACCAUGUUGAUCAGUUCUGAAGACAACAAAAUGCCUUCACUUCUUAGCAUAGACCAUCUGGUUUUCAUUUCUUUUGAAAGUGAAAACGCCAUCUUUAUGAAAAUAGUUCAACAGGUGUGUUGUUUUUUACUUCUAUCUUGUUUUCCCCUUAUUUUCUCAGCAGGACAAGUGAUUUCAUUCCUGAAGCAGGAAAAGAAUGUUAAGAUACAUGCCACUAGAAAUGACAAUGUCAAACACUGACAGAGUCGUUUCAAGCUCAGAAUGAAUCACUUUUAAGACAGUACAGUUUGGCUUGUUUCUUUUGGGGCCAUAAGACUUUUAAUACUUCUUUCAUUGAGAUAAGAUGAGAGUAAACAUUCGACAGAGAAAUAGUAAGAAAUAUUUAAAUUAAUUCUUCUAAACAUAAAUGCUGGGAUUAAAACAAUAAGUUUGGCCGGGUGCAGUGGCUCACACCUGUAAUUUCAGCACUUUGGGAGGCCGAGGCGGGCGGAUCACCUGAGGUCGGGAGUUUGAGACCAGCCUGACCAACAUGGAGAAACCCCGUCUCUACUAAAAAUACAAAAAUUAGCCAGACGUGGUGGCGCAUGCCCAGCUACUCGUCAGGAGAAUUGCUUGAACCCGGGAGGCGGAGGUUGCAGUGAGUCGAGAUUGCGCCAUUGCACUCCAGCCUGGGCACC
rnacentral:lncRNA from 10 species